rnacentral:rRNA from 1 species
UACGUAGGUGGCAAGCGUUGUUCGGAAUUAUUGGGCGUAAAGGGCGCGUAGGCGGCUUGUUAAGUCGGUUGUGAAAGCCCGGGGCUCAACCCCGGAAAGUCGACCGAUACUGGCAGGCUAGAGUACGGAAGAGGUAGCUGGAAUUCCCGGUGUAGCGGUGAAAUGGCGUAGAUAUCGGGAGGAACACCUGAGGCGAAGGCGGGCUACUGGGCCGAUACUGACGCUGAUGCGCGAAAAGCCAGGGGAGCGAACGGG